CCUACGGGCGGCAGCAGUGAGGAAUAUUGGUCAAUGGACGCGAGUCUGAACCAGCCAUGCCGCGUGCAGGAAGACGGUCCUAUGGGUUGUAAACUGCUUUUGUCGGGGGGCAAAAGCAGAUACGAGUAGCUGUCUGAGAGUAUCCUAAGAAAAAGGAUCGGCUAACUCCGUGCCAGCAGCCGCGGUAAUACGGAGGAUUCAAGCGUUAUCCGGAUUUAUUGGGUUUAAAGGGUGCGUAGGCGGUCGGAGAAGUUAGAGGUGAAAUCCCGAGGCUCAACUUCGUAAAAGCCUCUGAUACUGUUUGGCUUGAGAGUAGGUGAGGUAGGCGGAAUGUAUGGUGUAGCGGUGAAAUGCUUAGAGAUCAUACAGAACACCGAUUGCGAAGGCAGCAUACCAGGCCACUACUGACGUUGAGGCACGAAAGCGUGGGGAGCGAACAGGAUUAGAUACCCGUGUAGUC
rnacentral:rRNA from 1 species